rnacentral:rRNA from 1 species
GAUGAACGCUGGCGGCGUGCUUAACACAUGCAGGUCGAACGAUGAAGCCCGGCUUGCUGGGUGGAUUAGUGGCGAACGGGUGAGUAACACGUGAGUAACCUGCCCUUAACUCUGGGAUAAGCCUGGGAAACUGGGUCUAAUACCGGAUAGGAGCGCCUACCGCAUGGUGGGUGUUGGAAAGAUUUAUCGGUUUUGGAUGGACUCGCGGCCUAUCAGCUUGUUGGUGAGGUAAUGGCUCACCAAGGCGACGACGGGUAGCCGGCCUGAGAGGGUGACCGGCCACACUGGGACUGAGACACGGCCCAGACUCCUACGGGAGGCAGCAGUGGGGAAUAUUGCACAAUGGGCGAAAGCCUGAUGCAGCGACGCCGCGUGAGGGAUGACGGCCUUCGGGUUGUAAACCUCUUUCAGUAGGGAAGAAGCGAAAGUGACGGUACCUGCAGAAGAAGCACCGGCUAACUACGUGCCAGCCGCCGCAGUAA